GGUCUAUUGAGGUAAAGGCUAACCUGCCCGACUGUCUCUUGGGCACUGCGGGUUCGAUUCCCGCAUAGACCG
rnacentral:tRNA from 3 species